AGAGAGGCCGGCUACGACGGAUCGUUGGAUUUCCCCCAAAAUAAUCUGGGCCAGUGGGCCGGCCGCAUCGAGAUCGCCGCGUCGCCCUCGGCACUAGUUCUAGCGGAACCCUACCCGCGGCACCACGGCGGCGGCAUCGGCAGGCGAGGGAGAGGAGGAGGUCGACGGGAGGCGAUUCGGACGGUUCUUGGCGGAGCCACUUCGUGAGGCCGGUCCGGUCUGCGGCGGUAGGCAGCCUCCUCGUCUCAGCUCCAUGCGGCAUGGCCACCGAGAUGACGGGCGCCCGCGCAAGCCGGUCCUCCAGGGACAGGGAGUCCUCGAUUUGAUUCUAUAGGCCUGAGGAAUUGCCUUGCACAAAUCAUGGGAGUCAUUGGUCCGGCCCAUUUGACCUCAUCUCCUGAAAGUAAAUGGUGCCGUCCACCAAGGUUGGAUGCUUGUGCUCCUCCUAUCUUUUGAUCCUUCCUAUUCCUCUCGGCCACAUCUACCCAAUUUGCAUUUUCACAUAAGCGCAAGCAUCCAGCAACGAAGCUCUGGCAGAACACUUGUCCCUUUCCAAUCCAGUGGCAUCAGAGUGUGGCGUAUGAUUGUCAUCGCAAGUGACCAUGGUCCCUAACAAUAUGGCUCUGCUAGCUCCUCAAGCUUGUUGCCACACAUUGGUGCAAGUUCCUAGGAUGAUAUGGACAAGAACUACUGCUCUAGUGGCGUGGCAUUUCUGAUGUUCCUACUGUUGGAUUCAUAUAGGUGGGAUUCGUUUAGGUGGGCACUGACCUGUGGAGGUGCUGUCACUCAUACCACUUCAUGGUGAUGAAGCCUUGCUGAUGUUGGUUAUUCCUGUGUGGUGAAUUGUUGUUUGGUCAGUGUUGAUGUCCCUUGUUAGAUAUUUUUCCCAACGUUGUACUCCUAAAACAGCAAGUUCAUUGUGUCCAAUUUUUAUUGAACUGUAGAUUGUCGUGUCACAUCUGCAGGAAGUAAAUACUUGGGAUUCUUUGUUCUUGUGGCUAGGUGGUGGCGCGAUUAUUAGUGAGACACAGCUUUUCAUGCUUCACGAGUCAAGACGCACUUCUUGACAGUUUUGAACCUUGGGUUAAUGGUGUUGCAUGAGCUUUUGGUCCGUAUUUAAUUCUAGUAGAUAGUAGUAUUUUCAGUUGCACACUAAGAUUGCAUGCAGUGCUUUGUUCUGUUGUCUUAGUUGGAAGUAACAAUUGCAAUCCUUUCUUGAUUCUACCUGUUGCAUUUGGUACAUGUUGCAGCAAUAUAUCUAUCUUCCUGGUAAAAACAAGAAUCAAUUUCUUUACGUUGUGUUUCUUCUGAAGUGUUGCUCCAAAGCUGUUAUUCUUUUGGUAAUUUAUAUCUACUUGGUGUUAAUUGUCGGUAACCAAGACCUAUUCUCCAUCUAAUGUCCAAGAGGUUCCAUUUGGUAUAGGUAAGUUGUUGCAUUGUGCCGGAAAUUAUCAUUUGCUAUUGUUGCUCUUGCAUUUUCAUGUAGUUUGGGAAUAACCUCAUGUUUAAACAAUUAAACUCAUAAUAAGACAAAUAUCACUUUGCUUGCAGCGCAUGUAAUGUACAAAUUUCUAGGUUGUAGCAUUUUUGUGUCUUGAAUGCUCUCGUAUUUUAAGAUGGGAUUGAUGCAUUUGUUAUACUAAAAAUAUUGUUGUUUUUAAUGAAUUCUGAGUUUCAAAUGUAUAUUUUCAGAGAUAUUAAAAUGCCACUUAAAGCCUUUACACAUAUUGGAAAAGGGCGUGAUCUAACAACAGAAGAACAAGCACAAUUUUAUGAUUCUCUGAAAAGUCUUGUAUUUGGCUACUUAAGAUUGGAAGUGGAAAACAUUUAAAUUUUGCCGCGGGAGUUUUUAUAAAUAAUGUGGGCCAUAUUCUAACCACAUCAAGUAGUGUUCCAAAUACUAACAGUAUCAUUUUGGGUCGAGAAGUCAGCGACGGUACUUUUCAGCGGUUGAAGAUAAAGUGUAGCAAGUUAUUCGUGCUUCUUACACCAACUGAUAACAAGAAAGAAGGAUAUGAUUAUGCAAACGUAGCAGAUGAUUCUACGCAGAUUACUAAUGGUCAAGAAAUAUACAGUAUUCUUCAUGAACUUUCAGGCAGCUACUCUUAUGCAAUUGGAGAGGUAUGUCACUGUAGAAGGAUCGUUGAUGAUACGGAACACUUUCAGGUGGUAAACUUGCAUACAGUAGGUAGAUCUGAUGUUGUAUUGUCAUCGACGGGACAUAUAAUAGGAAUGAUCCAAAGAUUAUCUCUUGGUACAAGUACAUCUAUGGAAAUUCCUGGACACAAUAUAGUUUUACACUUUAGAGAAAUUAACAAGUUUAUUAGGACUAUUAGCGAGCGAGUUUUGAGCUCGAAGAAGCAUUGAUGGCUAUUACAGUGUCAAAACAUGAUAUAAACUUUGAUUAUGUAUUUACAAUACAGACCGCCAUUUUGUACUCGGAGAAAUAUGUACACCCCUCCUUGUUUGUUGGA